UUACUGAGUUUACGCUCUACAACCCUUUGUGAACAUACCUAUAACUGUUGCUUCGGCGGGUAGGGUCUCCGCGACCCUCCCGGCCUCCCGCCUCCGGGCGGGUCGGCGCCCGCCGGAGGAUAACCAAACUCUGAUUUAACGACGUUUCUUCUGAGUGGUACAAGCAAAUAAUCAAAACUUUUAACAACGGAUCUCUUGGUUCUGGCAUCGAUGARRAACGCAGCGAAAUGCGAUAAGUAAUGUGAAUUGCAGAAUUCAGUGAAUCAUCGAAUCUUKGAACGCACAUUGCGCCCGCCAGCAUUCUGGCGGGCAUGCCUGUUCGAGCGUCAUUUCAACCCUCAAGCUCUGCUUGGUGUUGGGGCCCUACAGCUGAUGUAGGCCCUCAAAGGUAGUGGCGGACCCUCUCGGAGCCUCCUUUGCGUAGUAACUUUACGUCUCGCACUGGGAUCCGGAGGGACUCUUGCCGUAAAACCCCCAAUUUUCCAAAGGUUGACCUCGGAUCAGGUAGGAAUACCCGCUGAACUUAAGCAUAUCAAUAAGCGGAGGAAAAGAAACCAACAGGGAUUGCCUCAGUAACGGCGAGUGAAGCGGCAACAGCUCAAAUUUGAAAUCUGGCCCUAGGCCCGAGUUGUAAUUUGCAGAGGAUGCUUUUGGUGCGGUGCCUUCCAAGUUCCCUAGAACGGGACGCCAGAGAGGGUGAGAGCCCCGUACAGUUGGACACCAAGCCUUUGUAAAGCUCCUUCGACGAGUCGAGUAGUUUGGGAAUGCUGCUCAAAAUGGGAGGUAUAUUUCUUCUAAAGCUAAAUACCGGCCAGAGACCGAUAGCGCACAAGUAGAGUGAUCGAAAGAUGAAAAGCACUUUGAAAAGAGGGUUAAACAGCACGUGAAAUUGUUAAAAGGGAAGCGCUUGUGACCAGACUUGCGUCCGGUGAAUCACCCAGCUCUCGCGGCUGGGGCACUUCGCCGGCUCAGGCCAGCAUCAGCUCGCUGUCGGGGACAAAAGCUUCAGGAACGUAGCUCUCUUCGGGGAGUGUUAUAGCCUGUUGCAUAAUACCCUUCGGCGGGCUGAGGUACGC
rnacentral:misc_RNA from 1 species